rnacentral:rRNA from 1 species
GAUGAACGCUGGCGGCGUGCCUAAUACAUGCAAGUCGAGCGAACAGACGAGGAGCUUGCUCCUCUGACGUUAGCGGCGGACGGGUGAGUAACACGUGGAUAACCUACCUAUAAGUCUGGGAUAACUUCGGGAAACCGGAGCUAAUCCCGGAUAAUAUAUUGAACCGCAUUGUUCAAUAGUGAAAGACGGUUUUGCUGUCACUUAUAGAUGGAUCCGCGCCGCAUUAGCUAGUUGUUAAGGUAACGGCUUACCAAGGCAACGAUGCGUAGCCGACCUGAGAGAGGGAUCGGCCACACGAGAAGUGAGACAGGGACAAGAGUACUACGGGAGGCAGCAGAAGGGAAUCGUACGCAGGGGGGGAAAGCCUGACGGAGCAAGGCCGAGUGAGGGACGAAGGUGUUGGGAUCGUAAAACUGGGUUAUGAGGGAAAAACAGAUGUGUAAGUAAAUGUACAGUGCUUGACGGUACUUAAUAAGAAAGCCACGGCUAACUACGUG